rnacentral:tRNA from 1 species
CCGGGACGGCCCGGGAGGUGCCGGCUCGGCCGCGGUGGCGUCCGGGAGGGUGCCCGGCCGUUCGGUGCGGGCGUCCCGAG